GACGAACGCUGGCGGCGCGCUUAACACAUGCAAGUCGAGCGAAGCGGCGGACGGGUGAGUAACACGUGAGUAACCUGCCUUAGACAUUGGGAUAGCCUCGGGAAACCGGGAUUAAUACCAAAUGGUCUAAGAUGGACUCGCGUCCCAUUAGCUAGUUGGUGGGUAACGGCCCACCAAGGCGACGAUGGGUAGCCGGCCGAGGAGGAUGGACCGCCACAUGGGAACUGAGAAGCGGUCCAAACUCGACGGGAGGCAGCAGUGGGUAAUAUUGCACAAUGGCGGGAACUCUGAUGCAGCGACGCCGCGUGAACGAAGAAGGCUUUCGAGUCGUAAAGUUCUUUUAUAUGGGAAGCGGUACCAUAAGAAUAAGCCCCGGCUAACUACGUGCCAGCCGCCGCGGUAAUUC
rnacentral:rRNA from 1 species